AUUGCAUUUAGCACAUAUAGUACAAGAUUUACAGUAAUUCUGUGUUAAGGUAGUGAUGCCUGGUGCUUCAAAAUACUUGUCAAUCAAUGAGUUCAUCAGAUGUUUUGAGGGUUGCUGACACAGGCUUGCCGGUUACCUAUUGCAGUAAAUCUAAAUGGGCCUGGUCGGGUCCUUGGUACCGGCGGGUAGAAGUGGGAGGGUGGCUGGACUGCAUAGGAGCACGGGCAAGGCGGCUUUGUCGAGGUAGGGGCUGAAUAUCUUGGAAACCACCCGUGUCAAACCCAUUAGCAGGAGCUGGAGGGUAUGCACGGGCCUCUAAAGCAGGGGGCCGGCUGGGAUGGGCGUGAUAGGUGAGUAUUAAGGACGUGAGCAAGGGCAGAGAUUGGAUCGGAAGGCUCGGGGACGUUAGGCGGGGGCGGAGAAGGGGUUGGAGGAUCAGAGGGAGGAGGUGGAGGAGGAGGUAAAUCAGUGGGAGGCGGGGCAGGAAUCGCGGAAUUAACCAGGGAGGUAACAGCAGAGAAGAGGGCGGAUAUCGAGCUAGACAGGUCAUUG